rnacentral:rRNA from 1 species
UACGAAGGGGGCUAGCGUUGUUCGGAUUUACUGGGCGUAAAGCGCACGUAGGCGGAUUGUUAAGUCAGGGGUGAAAUCCUGGAGCUCAACUCCAGAACUGCCUUUGAUACUGGGAAUCUUGAGUAUGGAAGAGGUGAGUGGAACUGCGAGUGUAGAGGUGAAAUUCGUAGAUAUUCGCAAGAACACCAGUGGCGAAGGCGACUCACUGGUCCAUAACUGACGCUGAGGCACGGAAGCGUGGGGAGCAAACAGGAUUAGAUACCCGGGUAGU